rfam:Triticum aestivum genome assembly, contig: Triticum_aestivum_CS42_TGACv1_scaffold_375976_5AL
GAGCUACUCCCUCCGUUCCAAAUUACUUGUCGCCGAAAUAGAUGUAUUUAGAACUAAAAUACAUCUAAAUACAUUUAUACCUACGACAAGUAAUUUGGAACGGAGAAAGUAGUAU